rnacentral:rRNA from 1 species
UACAGAGAGUGCAAACGUUGUUCGGAAUUACUGGGCUUGAAGCGCACGUAGGCGGCGUUGUAAGUGUCGGGUGAAAUCCCACGGCUCACCCGUGGAACUGCCCGGCAUACUGCGAUGCUAGAGUGUGGUAGGGGAGAGCGGAACUCCUGGUGGAGCGGUGAAAUGCGUAGAUAUUCGGAAGAACACCAGUGGCGAAGGCGGCUCACUGGACCGGUAUUGACGCUGAGGUGCGAAAGCGUGGGGAGCAAACAGG